CCUACGGGUGGCAGCAGUGGGGAAUAUUGGACAAUGGGCGAAAGCCUGAUCCAGCCAUGCCGCGUGUGUGAAGAAGGCCUUCGGGUUGUAAAGCACUUUCAGUGGGGAAGAAAGCCUUGGGGCUAAUACCCUCGAGGAAGGACAUCACCCACAGAAGAAGCACCGGCUAACUCCGUGCCAGCAGCCGCGGUAAUACGGAGGGUGCGAGCGUUAAUCGGAAUUACUGGGCGUAAAGCGCGCGUAGGCGGUCUGAUAAGCCGGUUGUGAAAGCCCCGGGCUCAACCUGGGAACGGCAUCCGGAACUGUCAGGCUAGAGUGCAGGAGAGGAAGGUAGAAUUCCCGGUGUAGCGGUGAAAUGCGUAGAGAUCGGGAGGAAUAACAGUGGCGAAGGCGGCCUUCUGGACUGACACUGACGCUGAGGUGCGAAAGCGUGGGUAGCAAACAGGAUUAGAUACCCCAGUAGUC
rnacentral:rRNA from 1 species